rnacentral:rRNA from 1 species
ACGCCGUCUGGAGAAUGGCUUGGCUUGAGUGCUGAUGAAGGGCGCGGCAAGCCGCGAAAGAGCCCCGGGUAAGCGCAUGCAGCCUUAGAACCGGGGAUUCCUCAAUGGGACUUCCUAUCAGGGUUCUUCGGAACCUUGAUGCUCCCAUUAGGGAGCGGGAACCCCCCGAACGGAAGCAUCUUAGUAGGGGGAGGAAAAGAAACCAAAACGGGAUUCCCUCAGUAGCAGCGAGCGAAGAGGGAAAAGUCCAAACCGAAUCCCACAGGGAAACUUGUGGGAGAUGUAGGGUGAUGGGCCCGGCUUCCUCCUCGCCAGUUAAACUGAAGUGGCCUGGAAAGGUCUGCCAUAGAGGGUGAAAGCCCCGUAAGGGUAAGCUGGAAGGAGCUGAGCUGGAGUCCCGGAGUACCGUACCCUGGUGUGGGUGCGGAAAGUUGGAAGUCACCAACUCCUAAGACUAAAUACAACUCAAGACCGAUAGCGUACUAGUACGGUGACGGAAAGAUCAAAAGUACCCCGGAAGGGGGUGAAAAGUGCCUGAAACCAGACGGUUACAGACGUGUGCGGCCCGGAAGGAUAGAUCCUUUUCAUAGGAACCCGUCGUGAGGCGGUUGUACGAGAAGAGGGGACCAGGGUUGCACGUUCCGUCUAUAAACACGGGCCGGGGAGUUCAUAGCUGUGGCAAGCUUAAGGGUUAGAAACCCGUAGGCGUAGGGAAACCAACAUGCACGCAACCAGCUUGUCUGGUGAGGUGCGGAGUCUGAAAGGGCUCGGAGUCACAGCUUUGAGACUAGAAACCAGGCGAUCUAGCCCUGGGCAGGGCGAAGCUAGGCGAAAGCCUAGUGGAGGCUCGCAAGGGUGCUGACGUGCAAAUCGUUCUUCAGACCUGGGGCUAGGGGCUAAAGACCAAUCUAGCCUGGUGAUAUCUAGUUCCCUCCAAAGUGGGUCGCAGCCCAGUGCCGGACGAGGCGGCUGAUGGGGUAGAGCACUGAUUAGGAAGUAAGGAUCCGAAAGGGUCCAUUUCUUUUUCAAACUCCGAAUCUAUCAGCGUCGUAGACUCUGGUAAACGGGUUAGUGGGGGUAAGCUCCACGACCGAGAGGGGGACAACCCAGACUGAGGUUAAGGUCCCAAAGUGCUGGCUAAAUGUCAAACUAAAGGGCGUCGUCAGCCUCAGACAGCGGGGAGGUAGGCUCAGAAGCAGCCACCCUUCAAAGAAAGCGUAACAGCUCACCCGCCGAGGCUGACGGCCCCGAAAAUGGACGGGGCUAAGCCAGCCACCGAUACCUCAGAACACAAUUGCGAUUGCGUUGGUAGGAAGGCGUCCUGACUGGACAGAAGCUGGGCCGUGAGGUCCAGUGGACCGAUCAGGAUUGCAGAUCCCGGUGGUAGUAACAGCUAAGAGGGGUGAGACUCCCCUCCGCCGAAAGGGCCAGGGUUCCCCGGCAACGAUCGUCAGCCGGGGGUAAGUCGGUCCUAAGAUAUGGCCUAACCGACCAUGUCGAAAGGGAAUCCGGUUAAAAUUCCGGAACCACGAAGGUACGCGCGGCAACGCAAGCUCAACGUCUGACGCUUCGAGGUAGGCUGAGCAAGGCUGUCGCCUUGUUUAACCAUAUAAGUCUGGGAAGUGCCGUAAUGGCGAGAACCAGGUGAAAACGGGAAUAGCCGCCCGUUUUAGGGCGGUUCAGCUGAUUCUUGGAGCCAGUGAAAAGGGUGUUGAGAUGGAUCCUUCGUGUCCGUACCUAGAACCGACACAGGUGUCCCAAGGCGAGAAACCUAAGGCGUGUCGGGUAUACACUAGUGUGAGGGAACUCGGCAAUUUAGCCCCGUACCUUUGGUAUAAGGGGUGCCUGCCGUUUUUGCCUUUGGCUGGAAUGGCAGGUCGCAGUGACAUGGGGGUCCCGACUGUUUAAUAAAAACACAGGAAACCGCAAGCGCGAAAGCGUGUGAACGGUUUCUGAAUCCUGGCCAGUACAGGUACCUGAAACCUGGGUCCAACCGGGCCAAGGGCCUGCAAACGCCGGGAGUAACUCUGACUCUCUCAAGGUAGCCAAAUGCCUUGUCGGGUAAGUUCCGACGUGCAUGAAUGGAUCAACGAGGGCCCCGCUGUCCCCACGUAGUACCCGGUGAAACCACAUAACGUGGACGAACAGUCCACGAACUCCCAGCGGGAAAAGAAGUCCCUGUGGAGUUUUACUGCAGCCUGCCGCUGGAAUACGUUUGCGGAUGCAGAGCGUAGACGGGAGCCGUUAAUCCCGGUUUCUCAGGGAACUGGGGGAGGCAAAAAUGGAACACCGUCCUUCUGCGACCGUGUUUCUUACCGGCGCUUCGGCGCUGGAACAACGGUAGGUGGGCAGUUCGGCUGGGGCGGCACGCCCUUGAAAAGAUAUCAAGGGCGCCCUAAGGUCGGCUCAGACGGGACAGAAACCCGUCGUAGAGUGCAAAGGCAAAAGCCGGCCUGACUGGAUCCUCCAAAGUAAGGGAUCCAGAGGCGAAAGCCGGGCUUAGCGAUCAUCCAUGCUCCCCAUUGGUGGGGGCUGGAUGUGUCAGAAAAAUUACCCUAGGGAUAACAGGCUCGUCGCGGGCGAGAGUCCCUAUCGACCCCGCGGCUUGGUACCUCGAUGUCGGCUCUUCCUAUCCUGGCCCUGCAUAAGGGGCCAAGGGUGAGGCUGCUCGCCUAUUAAAAGGGAACGUGAGCUGGGUUUAGACCGUCGUGAGACAGGUCGGUUACUAUCUAUCAGGAGUGUUUGGAGUCUGAGGGUAAGAAUGAAAUAGUACGAGAGGAACUUUCAUUCGGCGCCUCUGGUCGAUCGGUUGUCUGACAAGGCAGUGCCGAGCAGCUACGCGCCAAGGGAUAAAAGCUGAAAGCAUCUAAGCUUGAAACCCGGCCUAAAAAGAGACUCCGUUGAGGACUCGGAUAAAAGAUCCGUUUGAUAGGCUUGGGAUGUACGCACGAAGGCAACGACGUGUUCAGUCCGCAAGUACUAACGUCCAAACACUAGUGCU